rnacentral:rRNA from 1 species
UCAACUUGAGAGUUUGAUCCUGGCUCAGAACGAACGCUGGCGGCAGGCCUAACACAUGCAAGUCGAGCGCACCCUUCGGGGCGAGCGGCGGACGGGUUAGUAACGCGUGGGAAUAUACCCAGUUCUACGGAAUAGCCAUUGGAAACGAUGAUUAAUACCGUAUACGCCCUUCGGGGGAAAGAUUUAUCGGAAUUGGAUUAGCCCGCGUUAGAUUAGAUAGUUGGUGGGGUAACGGCCUACCAAGUCGACGAUCUAUAGCUGGUUUGAGAGGAUGAU